CAGCCGCCACGGUAAUACGUAGGGUGCGAGCGUUAAUCGGAAUUACUGGGCGUAAAGCGUGCGCAGGCGGUUCGGAAAGAGAGAUGUGAAAUCCCAGGGCUUAACCUUGGAACUGCAUUUUUAACUACCGGACUAGAGUGUGUCAGAGGGAGGUGGAAUUCCGCGUGUAGCAGUGAAAUGCGUAGAGAUGCGGAGGAACACCGAUGGCGAAGGCAGCCUCCUGGGAUAACACUGACGCUCACGCACGAAAGCGUGGGGAGCAAACAGGAUUAGAUACCCCCGUAGUCCCUGUCUCUUAUAC
rnacentral:rRNA from 1 species